UCUCCAGCCUGGCAGAGGAGACACCACAAUUAAGAAGGUGGUUCUCCCAGGAUUAGACUCAUUCCUCGCACUUUGAGUGUGCCUACAGUUUGCUCAAAUGCAGGAAAGUCAACUGCAUAAUUUGUGUUAGUGGUAGACUUUGACCAUGCUCUCUUCUACC
rnacentral:snRNA from 14 species